AUCGAGUCAUAAAAUGGCUUUGACAAAUGUUACGAAAUGAUUUUACUGCUGAAAGUGUACCAUUCUAAUAGACGUU